UUAAAUGAAACGGUGAGAUGCUCGGAGGAAGCGCCGGCUGCUUGCUGCAUCAGGAACGUUUCGUAAUAGCAAAGGCACUAUCGGGAAGCGUUACGUAAGCUGUCCAUUAAGGACACUGAUUAGGAACGUUCAGAAAUAUGAAAACCGCAUAGCAUUGUUUGCUGGCCUCAACCACAUGCAGCUUGCUUUCAGCAAGAGGGAAGGAAGUGAUCACAGAAGGUGCAGGUCACUGCUGGGAUGCCCCCUGGGCUGAGAUAACUGAACGUAUGAAACUGCUCCCUUGCCAACAGCUCGGUAAGAACGCAAGUGCUCGCGUUACAAAAGAAUUUGGCAUGAAGAGCUGUUCGUCAGAGAGCCCACCAGAGUCGUGUAUACGUUUGAAUCCACUUCCAACGUUUUAAUUUACACAAAUUUCAGGAGCACACUAUUAGCCGAGUGGAAGGUGGUCUUAUCCUCUGCACCACACGUGGGUCCGAGACCCCAGAGCACAGUCGUCUCCCUCGCCAAGAAUGCACUCGGCAGCCAGGGACUCGCAGAGUGAACGUGUGCGGGUUUCAGUGGACCGCUUCCCAUCUGGAGCUCAAGUUAAGAUGAGGAAGUAGAAUCACAGUAAAUGAGGAGUUAGGGAAUUUAGGGUAGAGAUUAAAGUAAUGAACAGAGGAGGAGGCCUGAGACAGCUGCAGAGAGACCCUGUGUUCCCUGUGAGGUGAAGCGUCUGCUGUCAAAGCCGGUUGGCGCUGAGAAGAGGUACCGGGGGCAGCACCCGCCUCCUGGGAGAGGGAUGGGCCUGCGGGCACCUGGGGGAACCGCACGGACACAGACGACACUAUAAACGCGGGCGAGACAUCAGGGACCGGGAAACAGAAGGACGCGCGUUUCGAGCAGCUGCCCAGUGGGCCACAAGCCCCGCCACGCCACAGCCUCUUCCCCUCAGCACGCAGAGAGGGAGGCUGCAGAUGCCAGAAACGGGCCCCUGUCUCCCAUGAACAAGAAACAGAAAAAAAGGAAGAGAGCAGAGAGCCAGGCAGAUGUUCAGGAGAAUGAACGUGUCCGAAAGACAGACAGAAGCCCGGGGACUGACGUCCGUGGGAGCUCCUCCCGCACUGCAGAAGGUUCAGCCUUUUCACGUGAUGGGAGACCAUGCCAGGCAGCUGCCAACAGUCUGGCCACGAGGAGCUCCGUGCUGUUGAGGCACUGUGAACUAUCAGACAGCCUCCCUCUGCAGACAGCCAUGCGGAUGUCCGGGGCGGCCAAGAGAUGCCGGGCAGGGCUUUAACUGCUGGUCUCUGAUCCCCGCCACG
rnacentral:lncRNA from 1 species